UGUUGGAGCUGAUAAAUGUUCAGUAAAUCAGGCUGCAGUCAUUGCAAAGUGGAAAAGAGAGGAGAGGAAUGGUCAUAUUUUUAAGGAGGUGAGCAUCAGGCUUUGUAAAGACUUCUGUAUUUGUGCAGACUUAUCAUCAACCAGUGAUAGGGAUAAUAAUAUAAGUAUACAUAAAAAGGAAAUAAACAUGAUCAAAACGAAUAAUGAUGUGUUUAAGACAUGAUUAAAUUUGAUUUAAAUGAUAUUUUACAGGAUUUGAAGGAUGAUAUUGAUUUUUAAGAGAUGUAUCCAGAUGAUUCCAUGGUUUCGCUCCUCUAAAAGUAAUGUUAGACUGAUGACUAGAAGUUCCACAGAAAGGUUACUGAAGAUGGCCAUUUUGUCUUGUUGAGUACGGGUGAACGUUGGAUUUUAUCAUCAUUAUUCAAAUCGUCUUUUUAUAUUUGCUAUCCUGUUUCCUGCUUUCUACCCAUCUUUUUAUUACAUUUCUUUUUCUUACCUAUUUAACGUUUUUAUUUUGGUCCUCAUGGUCUCAUUUUAUGUUGCAGGGUUCUUGCAUUGUCUGGGUUUCUUGUGACAAAUGAAAUUGGCCUUCAAUUGGGAGGUUUUGUUUUUAACUGAGCUUUUGUUUUUAAUUUGAUUUAGAGAUUUGGUAGGAAAGAUUUAUUUACAGGAAAUCUUUCCCACCACAAGCAAUUGCAUUGUUCAAUAACACAUCUGUCAGACAGGGACUCAUUCCUGUCUGCUGUAUAGUACAUUUUUAAAAAACUUCCACAUCACAUUACUGAGCACCUUAAAUUGUCUGUUUAUUUAUCAUCCCAUCUGUAUAUUUUACAUUUCAUAUUUAUUACUCAUUUCAAGAGCCCACGUUUUUUAUAUCUCACUUUUUUUUCUCUUAAGAUGUUUAGUAUAUUUAGUCUGUAUUUAUUGUAUAUAUUUAGUAUUUUUAGUCUGCAUUGUUCAUACUUCCUCCUAUAUUUAAUUUUAUUUAAUUUUAUUUAAUUUUAUUUUUGCUACUGUAAUAUGAGAAUUUCCCAGUUUGGGAUCAAUAAAAUUAAUCAAUCUAUCUAUCUAUCUAUCUAUCUAUCUAUCUAUCUAUCUAUCUAUCUAUCUAUCUAUCUAUCUAUUUACAACUGUUUGUUAAAGCACUUUGUAAACUUCUGUUUUUAAAAGUGCUAUAAAAAUAAAAUUAUCAUUAUUACUACGAGUCGUAAUCUUGACUCUAAUUUGUAUUAAUUUACCAGAGCAGUAUGAAGUAAAUUGUGUGGGGCUUCUGUAAAUCUCAUAUCUUUGUGUGAACUCCUGGUUGUCGCCCGUGUUUCCGACAGUCCGUGAAGGCCUCACGGUUCGGUGGCUGCUGAGCUGAUCUUUGUGCGAACGGAGCAGGGGGACAGCAAACACUCACCAAGCAACGAAAGACGGCGGAGGAAACGGCUUCGGGUCCCAGAAAUCACUCUUACAUCGACUACACAGCGACAGAGACGGCCUUAAGAUGGUAAGACGACAUUUAAGAGACGUAAAUGUCAGCUGGAGGCGCUAUUUUCUCCUGACAAUCAAUCUAGUCCGAAGCUAGCGCGCUAAUGCUAACUGCUAGCCGAGUGUUUUCCUGACUCAUUAUUGAGCAGCCCGAGAAGCUAGGCUGCCAUUUUACACCAACAACACAGGCAGCUGCUCUGCCCUGGACACUGCGGUUACCCCGAUCAGGACCAAAUUUAGUCCCCUUUCACCCCAAACCUUACACAGGUAGUUAAAUGAAAACAAAUCACAUCCAAAGUGAUGAUUCAAUCCAAGCGAACGUUCCUUAAAAGCUAACAGGCUAACCGAGCCUGAGGAGCUAAUGACUGCUAGCAGUGUUGCGUAGCUGAGUCUGACACCUUUGCCAGCUUUAGGUUGGAAUAAUCUGAGGAAGUAGCCCGGAGAGUGGUUAUUGCGGAUGUUUAGUGUGUUUAGUUGGAUGAAUUAAAGGUGUUUAUUGAGUCAAAGCUGCUGUAGCUCGUGAUUUAAGUGGACGGAUCGGCCGUGUGCCGCCGGAGUGAAGGAGAGUGAUUUGACUCAGGAGGACUCCCACACUCCUGGAAUACCUGCGAAACACCUGGACACAGAAAUUAGGAGUAAUUUAACAGAUUAUCAGAGGAAUACAAAUAUCUGGACUCUCAUAUGUUACCACCUGUUUAUGUUUUAUAUUCUCUCCUGUUUAGACUCUUGUCUGUGUUGUACCUACUCUCAGGUAGGGGUGGUUAGUGUGGCAAAAAUAUCAUACCUUCAUUUCUUUAAUCCUGACAACCUAAUUUUCCAUCUAUUCUUGAUUUAAGACUAUUGUUUGGCGACUAUCCAAAACAACUUAGUUGCCGAGAGGCCGAGUUGGGGAAACCGGUGCCUUACCCGACACGCUGGCUGUAUAAACUUGAAAAAACAGGCUGUAACUCCGUUUUGUAGUUUUAUUAAUGGGGCAGUCGUUCAAAAUCAGGCGAAAAAAGUGACACAUAAGCGGUUGGCAAAAAGUAGGGCUUCCCCAUUCACCCCCUCUCCAUUCAUCCACAAAACUCACCAGGUGAACAGCUGACGUACUACUACCGGUGCUGACGUACUACCUCCACCCACACCACGUGACGCUCAUCCCCGUAUAUAACCACACAAUACACAAAUAUUAUAAAAGAUCAUGGCUACCACAAAGAACUGGCGUCCACAACUAUCAUGUAAGUUAAUAGUCAUUACAAUCUAUUUAGAUAGACAGAUUGUUUUGAAACUUGAACUGCUCACUUUGGCAUGGGUUUUACUUUUGAAUAGAAAUCUAAAGCAAUAUCAUAUAAUCAUAAUGGAAUCUAAAAUUAUCCAAGAAAGAAGAGUAGAGGGUAGUGUAACCAGAACUCAGACUUCUACAGAACCAGACAGUUCCCAUGCAGGCUGAGUCUGCUGCAGUAUUUCAUUAAAAUUAAAAUGGAUUAAAACUUAAAUUUGGUUCAGAUUUGUAACAGCAACUAUUAAACAUUUUAGACUGUGAUUAGUACGUCACAUUUUGGCCUCUUAAUCGUGUUUGCAGUGCAGUACCAGAAAAAAAAUCUGAAGCUGUUUCAUUGUAGGCGCCAUGAGUUUGAUUUUUUUGCUAUUGUAUUGAAACAGGCAUUGAAAUCGCUCUGUCUUUAUAGUUUUUAAGUCUAAAAUUCUGUUAUUCUUGCAACCCCCAUACUUUGACAGAAUAAAACUCAUGGACGGUUAUAUUUUGAUUUCUUUUUAAAGUUAUCACUCCUGUUGCUUUCUAAAGUUGGUUGGCUGUAGGAGCCUUAGGACUGGGCGAUUAUAUGAUCGAGAUUAAUUAACGUGAUAAAUUUAAGUGCGAACACAGUGAUCAGCUGUGAGCUUAUUUACUAGAUCAAACUUGGCGAAAAUGUGCAUCACAACAGCCAAUCAGAGUCGAGCUUUUCCUGCUCACUUCUGUAAGUUGCAGGAAAAGUAAACAGAGUAACCGAACGUGGAGCUGAGGGCAGUAAGAUAGAUGUCAGCCAUGACUUUGAGUCAUCCUCCGAAGAUGCUAUUGUUAUUUAACGUCUUAUUUAGUAUUUAUCUAUUUAUUUUUUAGUUUUAAUACAGAUGCUUUAAAACUGACAUUUAAAAAAAAUAAUCGGGAUAAUAAUCGAGAUCGGACGAUAUGACAAAGUAUAUCGUGAUCAUCUUUUUAGCCAAAUCGCCCAGUCCUAAGGAGCCGUGUUAUUUGUUAGAUGUUAAAUAUUUGGAUAGUUGUUGAAAAUAAAAAUGUUAUCCACAAUUAAUCCGUAAUUGUAACAAUAAUCAUAGAUUAUAUUUGGGUAUAUACCGACUUAUCCAGUGUUUGUGUGCCAGUAGCGAAUGGACAAACUUCGGUGCAAACAAAGUAAAACUUUGGUAUUCCUGUUGUAGUUAAGAGAAUUAAUAGAAGCGUGAUUUGUGAUUGUGACCAUUCUUGUGGUUAAAGUGACAAAAUCAUAGAGGCUGUUGUGUCUGAAUAUUAACAUAUUUGAUCAUCUGUUGUAAAAAAAAACAGAUAUCUGUUUGUAAUUGUUGCAGGAAUUAGUUAAUAAGUUGAUUUUUGGUGCAGAUUUGAACUUGACACCAGUCAUAAAUUACGACUCUGGAUCUCCUUUCUUGCUCAUCAUAAAUCCCGCUGUGAAUAUUCCGAUAACAUGAGUUAGUCUUUGAAGUAUCCUCUUGGACCAUGUCGUCUGCGUUGUUUCAUCGCCACGCUCUCCAGCGUUUUUCUCUCAGCACUUUCAUUGAACGAUGAGGGUGAAGGCUGCAUGUGCCGACACGUCUUUCCCCUCCGAAUCAACCUGCUGAGAGUGGGAGGAUCUGCAUGUGUUUGCACAGACAGCGGGGUGGGCGUAUGUUGGUAUUCAGAGUAUCUAACGUAGGUUGAUAAUUUUGCAUGCAGGAUAAAGCAGCCGCAGACUGAUCCGUUCUCACAUUGGUGGUUAUUCAGAGGCUGUGCCCGGCGACAAACACCGACAAAGGAAACGCUCACAUCCUCACUUCCAUCUCUCGGCUCUUGUGGGAUGUAAUUGGCUCCUGGUUGUCACUUCCUGCCAGUGUCAGAAAUGUUUUGAUGGUGCUGCUGUUUCAUUCAUAGAUUCCUUGGCCUGCAGCGUUCAUUGACACAUUCGCCGUCAUGGGAAAUAUCUAUUUAAGGUGCUUUCCUCGGUGAUGCUUUUGCUGCAUGGAGCACAUGUUGCAUCUGAUCUACAGCUCACUCACACACGCCGAGUUUAGCAGGCUGAUCCGCUGUGCUCCACAUCAAGUUGGCAUCCGUGACUGCCAAUCAGUCUACAUCAGUGUUUGGCAGCAGGAGAUGACUCGUACUCCCUCUGUGGCAGCAACAAGAGUUUAAUCAGCAGAAUUUCAACAUUACAGAUGUCUUCUUAGUCAGAAAAAGUGGCCGCACUGAGCUGCCAGUUUUGAUCAAAAGGGUUAAGAGGCAGAUUGACUUUUUUCCCCUCAUUAUGAUAUCGUCCACAGCUUUGCCUUUUGUCUACGUUUGAAGGGAAACAUUUCAAAGAUUACACGCUGUAGCUUUAAGGUCCCCUGCAGCUGCACACUCAGUGACACCAUGGUCACUGUCAAAGUCACAGAUAAAACAGAGAAAAACAAAACACACAAGCGGGUUGAAUAGAACUGGAAAAUGACCUACCAAGAGAGAUUCCUGUUUACAUGCAGCCGUGAGCAUAUACUAAGAUUAAUCCUGUUCUGUUGUUGAUCGGUUUGUUGUGUCAAAAACUCUCUUUAAAUAGGUGAAACUUCUGAAUGUGCUGUAAAGUACCACUGAAAUAAGACAAGUAUCUGCAUAGAUCGUAUUUCUCGGUUAGUUUUUGUACCUUAUUUUAAAGUAUAUGGUGGUGCAUAAGGUAGGAACUGGGAAGAGGAAGUAGGGGAUGACGUGGGUUAGUGUUGGACUUGAUGAACAAAAUCUUAUGUCACAGUAUGAGUGAUUUCAAAUCACGGUAGGGCUGAAACAAUUCCUCGAAUACCUCGAUUACAAAUAAUGAUGAUGUUUCCACCUCUAACAACAACAGCCACACGACACUCUUUGCAUAGUAUUGUUUUUCGAUCAUUGCUGGAUUUUAUAAAUACCAAGAAUCUCCAGACAACCAGUGUCGCGACUUGCGCCCUUUUUCGGAACGAGUUCUUCCUCCUCUUCCUCAUGUUGGGUGGGUCGGGCUGCCUCCGUUUGCUCGGUACUGCCACUAAUCUUCACGUCUGCAAUGACCACCACCAGUGAGGCUGUUUCUCCAAACAGUCUGCUGGACACGCCGGCACCCAAACCUGACCAAUCAAACGGAGCGAACGGAAACGCACCCAGUCGGAUGCACUCCGGCUUUCCUGUUAGCGAGCACAGAAAACUACACACUGACACAGAGAAUGCAGCAAACAUCUGCUCUCUCUCUCUCCGGUAUAAACAGUAUAGCACAAUUUCUACCAGUAGACACUACCGCCCAACACUAACAUGAGGCUAAAGGGCAGUGGGUUAGAAUUGAACCCAGGCCACCUGCUCCAAGGACUUUAGCCUCUGUAAAUGGACUGUGUGAUUUAACUGCUGACCCACAACAGCAGCAGCCAUAACAUCAACAGCAUGGUUAAGUCCUUGUCUGUUUUAGAGGGCUAUUAUGAAGCUUUAAGAAAACGUGUUUUGGUGAAUUUUUGUCAAAAUGUGACUCUGUACUCUUGGAGAAAGCAAAGUGUAAGGUCAUGUCAGCCUCUGCAGGUCUAUCCUAGCCCCCUUUUACCUGGGCUGACCCGUUCAGGUCUGUGUGUUCAUCAUGUGUGAGGUGCUGUGAAGCGGCGGGGCUGAGAGCAGUCACUGUAAAGUCAAUCUAAAGGGACUGAGAGAGACUCUGCUCGGCUGCUCUUCUGAAUGCUAAACGGAGCGAGAGAAAUCAAAAGCUGCUUACGUUAAUGAAACGUCCUCCCCCGCUGAUGGACCCGGCACAUGACGGGUUAGCAUAUAUGCAAACACGUGUGUCACUGUGGGAGAAGAAGUGCUCGUCACGGUGAUUCAGAGUCAGCAGAAGCUUCAGAGCUCCCCAUGAUUCAGCCUCAGUCUGAUGUUUUUGUUUUGGUCUCUGAAAAUGAAAGAAGGAGAUGAACCACUGAAAUCAAAGUAAUGGAAGUGUUUUUGUGGUGUGACUCUGCAUUCUCCCUGCAAACAAGAAUGAUGGCAGGUUCCUCUCUCUCUCUCUCUGUGUUUUUGGCUGUGGUUUGCUUUUGUUUGUGUUUUUAAAUGUAGGGUAUUAGGUUGUUGAGACUGGACAGGACACACGGUGACCAGGGUAAUCUGAUUUACCCGGCUGAGCCUUUUUUCCCACGAGCACCGCUCUUCCUCUCUUUCUUCCUCUCUGUCUCUCUCUCUCUCUCUCCUUUACUCCCGGUAUCCCUCCCAUCCAGCUAAUCUCUCACAGACUCUCGGCACUCUGGUUCCUGAGUUGUGCUGUGUUACAUGCAGCCAUGAAGACUUAACGCAGUGUCAGAGAGUAGAAUUGACCGACUAAAUGCAGGAGAGGUUUGGCUGUUUGGUUUAUCUGCCCUCCUCUUUGGCAGACAACGUUGUCACCUGGAUGUAAAUAUGAAAACCUACCGGGAUUUCUCAGGCAUGUUGCAGCAGUCAGCAUGGUAAGAUCUUAGUUUGUGGGCUGUUUUUAAAAUUUACUGUACACUGUCACAUACAGUUAGUUGAAGCUUGAUUUAAAUAUGUUUAUUCUAGGCCUGGGUUGAUUACCAAAAAAAAAUUCACGAUAUAUUUUGUCAUAUUGUCCGAUCUCGAUUAUUGUUAUUUUUUUUAAACUGCCAGUUUUAAAGCAUCUGUACAAAAAACAAUACAACAAAUGUAGAUAAAUACUAAAUAAUACAGUGAAUUAGUUUACAGUCCUGGGUAUUUUUGCAGGUAUGCAAGACCCAAAAUAAACAAAUUGCGCCCUAAAGACGCCUUAAAAUCUAGACAAUAGAUGAUGUAAACUUGGAUGAUAAGAUUAAUCGCUGCUUUGGUCUGGUGGCUGCACCUGCACCACAAUCACUGCACACAACUACCAAUAACAUGUUACAGAUGCACAAACCUUUUGCACCAAAAAUACCUUCAUAAUAUCGAUUUUGCUGCCCUCAGCUCCACGUUAGGUCAUUCUGUUUACGUCCCCUGUUUGAGCUGGAAAAGCUUGACUCUGAUUGGCUGUUGUGGCACACAUUUCUGCUGUUUGAUCGAGUAAAUAUGCUCACAGCUGAUCACAGUGAUCGACUGAAAUUUAUCAUGAUCAUAUAAUCGCCCAGUCCGUUUACUCUCAUUGUAGGACUGUGAGCAGGUUGGUUCCCCGUCUCUGUCCUCAGUCAGUCUCUUCUGCUUCUUUAUAAACUCUAUUUGAUCAACGAUUCAGGUUGUUUUUGGUGUCACCGGUAUGCAUGAAGAACUGUCAGAAUUUAAUUUUCCUCAGUGUUGUGGUUUAAAAAUGUUUAUCUAUUUCAGAAAAGCCAACAAGUUAAGAAAGUCCAUGAUCUUAAAAGACAAAAUAAGAAAACUAACCAGCAAACUUUGUUAUAUUCAAGAGUUAAAGUUGAUGGAAACAAAAGAAAGUGAAUGAUUCGUUGCUUGUUUUGGCGCUCUCUCUUGAUUAAACUUGGUGUUACAGGGUGAAAUCAGUGAAAACUCUUCCUCUGCUUUUCCUGCAUCACCAAACACGCGGCCGCUGCACUGUCAACAACACUUGUUGACUGUCAGGAUGUUGUGGCCCGGGAAUAUAUCAGCUUGUUGUUCCUGGAAAAAGAGUCAUGACCUUUGACCUUUACCGCCUUCCCGCCUAGUGUGAAGGCGGGACAUGCCAUGGUGCUGCUUUCAACAGCCUGGCACAGGAUCCCUGUUUCACAACAAACUCUCGAGACGCCGUUGCCGCUCAACCAGCAGUCCACAUCCUGUUCGUCCUGGUCACACGGGGAUGGAUCUGAUUGUAGGUCAGAUACUGUAGAGCGACUCUCAUCUGAUACCUGCUGGUGUGAGAAUCUGAAACCUGAUCCCAGACCUGCCGUGAAGGGCACCUUUCUUUACCGGCAGUGAAAAGAAGCACAAGAGAGAAUGAACACUUUACCCUCUGUAGUCAGAUGGCUACUCUGAGGUAUGGUCUGCCUCAGUUGCUAUGGCAACUGCAGGAGCACCUUAGGUAUGGCUUCCUGUCUGAGUUAAGUGAGGAUCCACCUAAGAAGAGCAGGGGACUGGAAUAGGUCUAGAAUCUGAGCUGAGUGGGCUGAAUACUGAAUGACCGAACCCUGCAGAGGACUGUCGGCACACCAACCAGCGUCCCCGUCAUGUGGGAGACAAACUCAGGGGAGUGUCAGGGAUAGGGCUGGGCGAUGUGGACAAAGGUUUAUCAUGAUAUAUUUUUUCAUAUCAUUGGAUAUCGACAUAUAUCACGAUAUAAAAAAAUCACGUCAAUCUUAAAUGUUCCCUGUUAAGGUCCUUACACGCGGGGAACGACGUGAAUAUAGAACGCGAAAUUAGACGUUUAGCAAACUGUUAAAGCACACAAAUUGUCGUCAUAUGAGAGAGCCGACGCUCUACUGUCCUUCAGGUCGUUAUCUUUGUAAUAUUUGUGUCUUUUACGCGUAAACAAUCAGCCGUUUGGCCAUGUUGGAUAUACCGGUGAGGCAGACGUUGCAACAACACGAAAUCUGAU